GUUGAUUUCCCUCCAUUUAUACAUCCGCUAACUCACCAUAUUAAAUCACACAGAUCGAUAUAUUGCUUUACCAAUCAUGUCAGGCAGGAGGAGACGAGCUCAUACAUCGAGCUCAAGCGCAUCGAGAGCAAGGGCGCCGAGCCGGCCUCUCCAAGAAGGUCAAGGAGCUUUCCCUCCUGUGUGGCGCCGAGCUCGCGCUCAUCGUCUUCUCGCCUGCCUGCAACCCCUUCUCCUUCGACCACCCCUCGGUCCACUCCGUCAUCGGCUGCUUCCUCUCCAGCCGCGCCGUGUCUCCUCCUUCGACCCAUUGCCGCCAUCUGCUGUUGCAGACCGUCCGAUGAUCUCUGCACACGCUUCAGUGUCUGAAUAAACGAGCUUGACAAAAGACGAGGAAGAAGGCAGUGGUCCUCCAUGGUCGACCUCUUCAAUGCAAAAUUGGAGGAGCUUCAGUCGAAUGCAGAUGUCGAAGCCAUUCUCCAAGCUUUGGGGUCAUGCAGAACAAAGUCGCCUGUGAGACCUUCCACGAAAAUGGAGAACAAAGUAGAGACGCUUAGAUCUCACGUGUCGAUCGUAAGACACGUGCUCCAAACCUCGGUGGAAGGCUCGUCAAG
rnacentral:lncRNA from 1 species